rnacentral:rRNA from 1 species
AUUGAACGCUGGCGGAAUGCUUUACACAUGCAAGUCGAACGGUAGAGGGGGCAACCCCUCGAGAGUGGCGAACGGGUGAGUAAUAUAUCGGAACGUGCCCAGUCGUGGGGGAUAACGUAGCGAAAGUUACGCUAAUACCGCAUACGAUCUAAGGAUGAAAGCGGGGGAUCGCAAGACCUCGCGCGAUUGGAGCGGCCGAUAUCAGAUUAGGUAGUUGGUGGGGUAAAGGCUCACCAAGCCAACGAUCUGUAGCUGGUCUGAGAGAACGACCAGCCACACUGGAACUGAGACACGGUCCAGACUCCUACGGGAGGCAGCAGUGGGGAAUUUUGGACAAUGGACGCAAGUCUGAUCCAGCCAUUCCGCGUGCAGGAUGAAGGCCCUCGGGUUGUAAACUGCUUUUGUACGGAACGAAAAGGUCUCUCUUAAUACGGGGGGCUCAUGACGGUACCGUAAGAAUAAGCACCGGCUAACUACGUGCCAGCCGCCGCCGCAG